AGAUUUUAGCAUAUAUGUUUCCUACUCUUGAAGCUCCAGGUUCGGUUGAAGAGGACAACCUUCCCCAACAGACAAGGGCAGGUUGGUCAUUGGUAUACCAGGAGCCACACUCCCUGCUAGAACCUCCAAACAAGCUCUCAAGAUCAGGUAGCUUGAUGAGUCAGCAUUCUCUGUCUUCUGUAGGUUUAUUUGGCUAUUUGGG
rnacentral:snRNA from 1 species